ACACCAACAAGAAAACUCAUCUACCCACCAAUGGCGCUCGUAUGCAGUCGGCCAGCCUCCCUCCUACUCAUCGCGGCUCUUCUCUCCGCCGCAACCUUCCUUGCCGUCCCGGCCGCGGCCACGGGGAAGACCGGCCAGGUGGCCGUGUUCUGGGGUAGGAACAAGAACGAGGGGUCCCUCCGGGAGGCCUGCGACACCGGCACCUACACCAUCGCCAUCAUCUCCUUCCUCGACGUCUUCGGCCGCGGCAACUACCACCUCGACCUGUCUGGCCACGACGUCUCCGCCGUCGGCGCCGACAUCAAGCACUGCCAGUCCAAGAACGGCGCGCCGGCCAACUACGACGAGCUGGCCAAGCGGCUAUGGAACUUCAAUAAGGACUUCCGCGGCAGGACGCCGGUGCAGCUGACGGCCACGCUGCGGUGCGGCUACCCGGACCGGCACGUGGAGCGGGCGCUCGCCACGGGGCUCGUCGGACGCAUCUUCGUCAGGUUCUACGACGACGCCGACUGCGCCGCCAACUGGCAGCGACAGUGGGACAAGUGGACGGCGGCGUACCCUUCGGCGCAGAUCUACCUCGGGCUGCCGGCGUCGGAGCAGAAGGUCGGUUACGUUCACCCAAAGAACCUCUACUACAGCGUCAUACAGGUGGCGCAGAAGGCGGCCAACUACGGCGGCGUCAUGGUGUGGGAACGCUACGAGGACAAGCGGACCAACUAUAGCAGCUACGCCAUCCAAUGGGCUUGAGCCUCCGUCGCUCACAUCCGUCACCGUGUGUGAAUUUGGUGUAUCCGUCUGUCUACUGCAUACUCUGCAUGUGUUUGCUUACCUUACGGUAAAUAAGUAUCACCAGUGUGAGAACGGCGUUUCGGUGCCCGGGUGCACCUGCAUCCGGUCAAAACAAAAUUCGUAAAAAAUUCAGAAAAAAUCAAAAAAAAUUCAAAAAAAAUUGGAUGGUAGACAAUUUGAUGCGUGAGGUACGCUCUAAUUUUCAAAACAUUUGGACUUCUGUGCAGCUCUCAGCAAAAAAGACAAUUAGACCAGAACAGUAUAUGAACAGUGCACAUUUUUAC
rnacentral:rRNA from 1 species